rnacentral:rRNA from 1 species
UACAGAGGGUGCAAGCGUUAAUCGGAAUUACUGGGCGUAAAGCGUGCGUAGACGGUUACAUAAGUCGGGUGUGAAAGCCCCGGGCUCAACCUGGGAAUUGCAUUCGAGACUGCGUAGCUAGGGUGCGGAAGAGGGAAGCGGAAUUUCCGGUGUAGCGGUGAAAUGCGUAGAUAUCGGAAGGAACACCAGUGGCGAAAGCGGCUUCCUGGUCCAGCACCGACGUUCAGGCACGAAAGCGUGGGGAGCAAACAAG